rnacentral:tRNA from 1 species
GACCCAGCAUGGUGUAGUGGUUUGAGCAUCGGAUUAUGACUCUGGAGACCAGGGUUUGAAUCCCUGCUUGGCCA